rnacentral:rRNA from 1 species
UGGGGAAUCUUGGACAAUGGGGGCAACCCUGAUCCAGCGACGCCGCGUGGGUGGUAAGGCCUUCGGGUUGUAAAGCCCUUUCAGCGGGGAAGAUGAUGACAUUACCCGCAGAAGAAGCGCCGGCUAACUCCGUGCCAGCAGCCGCGGUAAUACGGAGGGUGCGAGCGUUAAUCGGAAUUACUGGGCGUAAAGCGCGCGUAGGCGGUUUUGUAAGUCGGAUGUGAAAUCCCCGGGCUUAACCUGGGAACUGCAUUCGAUACUGCUUAACUAGAGUAUGGUAGAGGGAAGUGGAAUUUCCGGUGUAGCGGUGAAAUGCGUAGAUAUCGGAAGGAACACCAGUGGCGAAGGCGACUUCCUGGGCCAAUACUGACGCUGAGGUGCGAAAGCGUGGGGAGCAAACAGGAUUAGAUACCCCCGUAGUCC